GAUCCUGGCUCAGGAUGAACGCUAGCUACAGGCUUAACACAUGCAAGUCGAGGGGCAGCAUGAACUUAGCUUGCUAAGUUUGAUGGCGACCGGCGCACGGGUGAGUAACACGUAUCCAACCUGCCGAUGACUCGGGGGAUAGCCUUUCGAAAGAAAGAUUAAUACCCGAUGGCAUAGUUCUUCCGCAUGGUGGAACUAUUAAAGAAUUUCGGUCAUCGAUGGGGAUGCGUUCCAUUAGGUUGUUGGG
rnacentral:rRNA from 1 species